CCCCAGAUGGGUGCCCCUGAAUCUACAGAGAUGAUCCUAGGCCAUACUGACACAAUCACACCAUUUCUUGGCCCAAACUGCACCCAGAAUAUUGGAAGUGGUUCAUGGAUGUACCGUACAGGUGCUCUAACUUAUGUCCUUCCUCCAUGCAGACAGUGUUCAAAAUGAAUCACUUCAAGAUCAACAGUCUAUGCAACUAUUCAAGCCUAGCUUACUAGCUCAGUUCUUCUAGCUAGUAGACGUGAAUGUGAACUUCUAGCAGUUUUUCUGUUUGUGGAUCGCACAGACAUGUACAGUGGAGGGGUUCAGACUGCUGAAUUAUGGCAGGCUACCGUACAUCGAGAAAAUGCCCCACCUCGAGUUUCUGGAGCCUGCUCAGAUUGAGAAAGGAUCGACUGACUUGUGCCAAGACUCUUUUGGAUUUUUCUUUGCUGCCCCUGACUGGAGCACCGAGUACAUCUGGCAGGUUGUACGCAAGUCACCCUUUCCCAGACGAAGGCCGGUGCUACAGGGAAACUAAACCUGCUUCUGAGGGAUUAGACAGAUUUUCACGUUUUGCUAAAAAUAGACUAGAUUGGACAAACAAGUUGUCUCAGCACUUUGAAGGUGAACUGACUUACAGUGACUGUUUAAGGUUCUUAAAACUUAACAACAGAAAAAUCUGAGAAAGCAAUCUUCAAGCGGAAUUGAAGUGGGUUGGAUCGAAGUGCUGUUUGUAUGGCUCAUGAGACCGUGAGCUCCAAGCCUCAAAAUACUUAAUUAUUAAAUGACUAGCUAUUUUUGUGGAUUUUUUUUUCAAAAUAACAUGUUCAACUUGGUUUACUUCUGGUGCACAGAGACUCUUUUUUCCUCACUAACAAAUUUGGAACGAGGGAAAAAAUAUCUUCUUUCGUUCUAUUAAUUGUGUUGUGCAUGCAAGACUGCGAAGGAAAAUCAUGAGAUACUGAGUUUUAUCUGAAUAGUUUUCUGAGUCGGGAACUGCACUGCUUGCUUUGUGAGGCAUAUAAUCAUCUGUUUCGAUUUGGUAAGCAUAUCACAUGCCUGUUUGUAGAUAGUUUCAAUUUUUAUUAGAAGCAACUAACUUGAUUAAGUCCCUUCAAGGUCCUUGGUGCACUCAAUCAAUCAUACCAUUUCAGUUCAGCAAACCAGGAUGAGAAAAUCUUGGUCAAUAUUGCAGAGGAUCUGCACAAGACUCAGUGGGUAAAUUUAUUGGUUCCGUGUCUGCACAAACAACACGGCAGCUAUGGGAUGGUGACUCCUGAUGUGCCGCGAUAA